rnacentral:piRNA from 1 species
UGCUCACUGCAGGGCUGUGUGGAUGG